rnacentral:rRNA from 1 species
AGAGUUUGAUCCUGGCUCAGGAUGAACGCUGGCGGCGUGCCUAACACAUGCAAGUCGAACGGACUUACAUUGAAGCCUAGCGAUACGUAAGUUAGUGGCGGACGGGUGAGUAACGCGUGGGUAACCUGCCUUGUACUGGGGGACAACAGUUGGAAACGACUGCUAAUACCGCAUAAGCGCACAGCUUCGCAUGAAGCAGUGUGAAAAACUCCGGUGGUACAAGAUGGACCCGCGUCUGAUUAGCUGGUUGGUGAGGUAACGGCCCACCAAGGCGACGAUCAGUAGCCGGCCUGAGAGGGUGAACGGCCACAUUGGGACUGAGACACGGCCCAAACUCCUACGGGAGGCAGCAGUGGGGAAUAUUGCACAAUGGGGAAACCCUGAUGCAGCGACGCCGCGUGGAGGAAGAAGGUCUUCGGAUUGUAAACUCCUGUUGUUGAGGAAGAUAAUGACGGUACUCAACAAGGAAGUGACGGCUAACUACGUGCCAGCAGCCGCGGUAAAACGUAGGUCACAAGCGUUGUCCGGAAUUACUGGGUGUAAAGGGAGCGCAGGCGGGCGAUCAAGUUGGAAGUGAAAUCCAUGGGCUCAACCCAUGAACUGCUUUCAAAACUGAUUGUCUCGAGUAGUGCAGAGGUAGGCGGAAUUCCCGGUGUAGCGGUGGAAUGCGUAGAUAUCGGGAGGAACACCAGUGGCGAAGGCGGCCUACUGGGCACCAACUGACGCUGAGGCUCGAAAGUGUGGGUAGCAAACAGGAUUAGAUACCCUGGUAGUCCACACCGUAAACGAUGAUUACUAGGUGUUGGAGGAUUGACCCCUUCAGUGCCGCAGUUAACACAAUAAGUAAUCCACCUGGGGAGUACGACCGCAAGGUUGAAACUCAAAGGAAUUGACGGGGGCCCGCACAAGCAGUGGAGUAUGUGGUUUAAUUCGACGCAACGCGAAGAACCUUACCAAGUCUUGACAUCCUGCGACGAUGCUAGAAAUAGUAUUUUCCUUCGGGACGCAGAGACAGGUGGUUCAUGGUUGUCGUCAGCUCGUGUCGUGAGAUGUUGGGUUAAGUCCCGCAACGAGCGCAACCCUUAUGGUCAGUUACUACGCAAGAGGACUCUGGCCAGACUGCCGUUGACAAAACGGAGGAAGGUGGGGAUGACGUCAAAUCAUCAUGCCCUUUAUGACUUGGGCUACACACGUACUACAAUGGCGUUAAACAAAGAGAAGCAAGACCGCGAGGUGGAGCAAAACUCAGAAACAACGUCCCAGUUCGGACUGCAGGCUGCAACUCGCCUGCACGAAGUCGGAAUUGCUAGUAAUCGUGGAUCAGCAUGCCACGGUGAAUACGUUCCCGGGCAUUGUACACACCGCCCGUCACACCAUGAGAGCCGGGGGGACCCGAAGUCGGUAGUCUAACCGCAAGGAGGACGCCGCCGAAGGUAAAACUGGUGAUUGGGGUGAAGUCGUAACAAGGUA